UACGUAGGGUGCAAGCGUUAAUCGGAAUUACUGGGCGUAAAGCGUGCGCAGGCGGUGAUGUAAGACAGAUGUGAAAUCCCCGGGCUUAACCUGGGAACUGCGUUUGUGACUGCCAGGCUAGAGUACGGCAGAGGGGGGUGGAAUUCCACGUGUAGCAGUGAAAUGCGUAGAGAUGUGGAGGAACACCAAUGGCGAAGGCAGCCCCUGGGUCGAUACUGACGCUCAUGCACGAAAGCGUGGGUAGC
rnacentral:rRNA from 1 species